rnacentral:rRNA from 1 species
AGUGAACGCUGGCGGUAGGCCUAACACAUGCAAGUCGAACGGCAGCACAGUAAGAGCUUGCUCUUACGGGUGGCGAGUGGCGGACGGGUGAGGAAUACAUCGGAAUCUACUUUUUCGUGGGGGAUAACGUAGGGAAACUUACGCUAAUACCGCAUACGACCUACGGGUGAGAGCAGGGGAUCUUCGGACCUUGCGCGAUUGAAUGAGCCGAUGUCGGAUUAGCUAGUUGGCGGGGUAAAGGCCAACCAAGGCGACGAUCCGUAGCUGGUCUGAGAGGAUGAUCAGCCACACUGGAACUGAGACACGGUCCAGACUCCUACGGGAGGCAGCAGUGGGGAAUAUUGGACAAUGGGCGCAAGCCUGAUCCAGCCAUACCGCGUGGGUGAAGAAGGCCUUCGGGUUGUAAAGCCCUUUUGUUGGGAAAGAAAAGCAGCAGGUUAAUACCCCGCUGUUCUGACGGUACCCAAAGAAUAAGCACCGGCUAACUUCGUG